rnacentral:lncRNA from 1 species
AUUGAGUAGUGUCCCACGAUGCUGCGUGGGCAAACCUCUAUCUUAAGGGUAGCGCAGACAUGUACCUGUGGCUUUCACCCCCAGCAGGUAAUAUUGAGAGCCUGGUGAAAUAAAUGCAUUUUGUAGGCUUACAACUUGUGAUGUGGACAAAAUCCCAUUAGUAUUAAUGCUUGUUUAAUGGUUUUAUUGUUUCUGUCUGUCAGUCUGUGAGAAGCCCUGCAGCUACCUCUGCCUCCACCUCUGCUGCGCCUGCACGGAGCCCUGGGAGGCAUGCAUUGACGCUGGCGAUGGUGAAUAUUUCCAUCACAUUAAAUACCAUGUCAUUCACCUGGGUAGCCAUGAUCAACUCAUCUCAGAUCUGUGUGUUUACAUAACUUUCAUGCGUAUCACUGGUGUGUAUAAUGUUUUUAUUUUUAAGACUAUUUUAUUAAGACUAUUCUUGGUUGAUUUUCAGUUUGAGAAAUCGCGGUUCGGUGGGACUUUGUCUGCUGCAGCCAAGCCGAAUGUCAAUCUGACUAGGAGGCCUGUUGAGGUAAUUGAUGUACCUAUAGCUGUGCCUGAUGCCUUAGAACACAGCCAUACAGCCAACACUAUCCUUGUUUUGUAAUUGUACUUCAUCAGCUCAGUUUCCCCCUCUUCCCAGCGUCCCUCCAGCCUGCCACUGUCCCGUCUGGGAGAAGCACUCCAUCCGCUACCCCACCUCGAGUGACGCCCCCUUCCAGUCCCAGCUUCUACAGGCCUGUCUCCCCUUUCUCUCUGCCUCCAUCCAGCCCUGUCAUGUCGGCGGUUGUAUCAGAUAUGAGUCCUGCUCCUCCAGGUCUCCUCCUGCUCCUCCUGGUCCCCUCCCUGCUCCUCCUGGUCCCCUCCCUGCUCCUCCUGGUCCCCUCCCUGCUCCUCCUGGUCCCCUCCCGCUCCUCCUCUUGCUGCUCCAGAUCAGUUCUGGCUGCCGGUGGAAAUGAGGAAGACCAUUCCCCAGCAGGACCAGCGCUGGAUUGCGUCCGAGCUGUGGAGGAACCAGCGGCUGCGCCCGGACGUCCAGCUCUGGUAUGAGCCACCAGUUCCUGCCUCAUCUACAACAAGGUCCCGUCACCAGACCGCUUUUUAUGCACCCUGCCCCUCCUCCGAGUCCCUGACCAAGGAGCAGUGGUUGGCGGAGAGGAGGAACAAAGAUCACCCGUGUUAAAUCUA